GAUGAACGCUGGCGGCGUGCCUAAUACAUGCAAGUCGAGCGAACAGACGAGGAGCUUGCUUCUCUGACGUUAGCGGCGGACGGGUGAGUAACACGUGGAUAACCUACCUAUAAGACUGGGAUAACUUCGGGAAACCGUAGCUAAUACCGGAUAAUAUUUUGAACCGCAUGGUUCAAUAGUGAAAGACGGUCUUGCUGUCACUUAUAGAUGGAUCCGCGCUGCAUUAGCUAGUUGGUAAGGUAACGGCUUACCAAGGCAACGAUGCGUAGCCGACCUGAGAGGGUGAUCGGCCACACUGGAACUGAGACACGGUCCAGACUCCUACGGGAGGCAGCAGUAGGGAAUCUUCCGCAAUGGGCGAAAGCCUGACGGAGCAACGCCGCGUGAGUGAUGAAGGUCUUCGGAUCGUAAAACUCUGUUAUUAGGGAAGAACAUAUGUGUAAGUAACUGUGCACAUCUUGACGGUACCUAAUCAGAAAGCCACGGCUAACUACGUG
rnacentral:rRNA from 1 species